rnacentral:rRNA from 1 species
UGAGGAAUUUUGCGCAAUGGAGGAAACUCUGACGCAGCAACGCCGCGUGAGUGAAGACGGCUUUAGGGUUGUAAAGCUCUGUCAGGAGGGACGAGAAUGGACGGUACCUCCAAAGGAAGCCCCGGCUAACUACGUGCCAGCAGCCGCGGUAAGACGUAGGGGGCAAGCGUUGUCCGGAAUUACUGGGCGUAAAGAGCUCGUAGGUGGGUUAUUAAGUCUUAAAGCAAAUGUAUCGGCUCAACCGAUUCAUCAUUUGAGAUACUGUUAACCUUGAGUGCAGGAGAGGAAAGUGGAAUUCCCAGUGUAGCAGUGAAAUGCGCAGAUAUUGGGAGGAACACCAGUGGCGAAGGCGUCUUUCUGGCCUGUGUCUGACACUGAGGAGCGAAAGCUAGGGGAGCGAACG